AUUGAACGCUGGCGGCAGGCCUAACACAUGCAAGUCGAACGAGUGGCGGACGGGUGAGUAAUGUCUGGGAAACUGCCCGAUGGAGGGGGAUAACUACUGGAAACGGUAGCUAAUACCGCAUACUAUCGGAUGUGCCCAGAUGGGAUUAGCUAGUAGGUGGGGUAAAGGCUCACCUAGGCGACGAUCCCUAGCUGGUCUGAGAGGAUGACCAGCCACCAGGGAACUGAGACACGGUCCAGACUCCUACGGGAGGCAGCAGUGGGGAAUAUUGCACAAUGGGCGCAAGCCUGAUGCAGCCAUGCCGCGUGUAUGAAGAAGGCCUUGGGGUUGUAAAGUACUUUCAGCGGGGAGGCGUUACUCGCAGAAGAAGCACCGGCUAACUCCGUGCCAGCAGCCGCGGUAAUUC
rnacentral:rRNA from 1 species